ensembl:misc_RNA Metazoa_SRP Metazoan signal recognition particle RNA
GCCAGCAAGUGUAGCCCCAGCAAUUCAGGUGACUGAGGUGGGAGGACUGCUUGAGUCCAGGAAUUCUGGGAUGUAGUGUGCUAUUCCAAUUGGGUGUCUGCACUAAGUUUGACAUCAAUAUGGUAACCACCUGAGAGUAGGGGACCACCAGGUUGCCCAAGGAGGGGUGAACCAGCCCAGGUCAGAAAUGGUGCAGGUGAAAACUCCUGUGCUGAGUGGGAAAACUCCUGUGGGAUUGCAUCUGUGAAUAGCCAUUGCACUCCAGCCUGGGCAACAUAGUCAGAACCCUGUCUUA